rnacentral:lncRNA from 1 species
UUUUUUUUUGUAUUAUCUUCUUUUCUGCAUCUAUGAUUUAAUGGUUUCUCUAAGAUACAUGGUAGGCAAAUUAGCAAUAUAUUUUCACUAUAUGAAAAGCUGGUUCUUUUACCCAAAAAAAAGCUGGUUCUUGUCAAUUUGGUGCUAUGGUGUUAUGUGAAUACAUGCUUGCGGCUCUUGGCUGUCGGGUUUUGAAGUGUGUCGAUUAAGAGCUUGAAAAUGCUGUUAGUAUUUCUCGGGGGAAAAAAAAGAGAGAAUGCUGUCAAUAAGUUUAUAUCGAGGCGUUGCAGUAGAAGCGGACUUCCAACUUCUAUUUUGUGGAUUUGAUUGCACAGGGAAGAAUGUUUGUCUGGUUUGCCGGGGAUCAUAUGGGACGUGAUGGACCUUUUUCAGAGGGCAAAUUGGCAAUUUUGAAACGAGGACUCAUUGUUGAUUGGGACUUAAAAGAAUCACUGAUGUUAAGGAUAUUUAUAUAUUAGAAAGCUGGAUUUGGAUGGCAGAGGUUAAGAAUUUACUGGCCACUAGCUCCUGAUUGAUGGGGGACCUGUGGUUGGAAGUGAAGAUUCUAAACCAAGCAUUAUGAAUCUGCAGGCUUUGGAAUUGUAAACAUCAAGCAAUCAACUAAUGAUGGAGACGGGGAUGGAACAGUUUUAAGUGGUAGUUUUGGAAUUCACAUGCGAGAUGGUGGUUUGGGCACCCGAGUAUGAAAAGAUGUUGAAGAAAUGCAUUUAGGAGGCUGAGAUUAUAUCCUUGAUCAAAGGUUUAAGAUUAGUUGGAGUAGGCUUCCAGUGACUAUUCCUUAUUGAGGAUUGUAGGUUUUUUCCUCAAUAUGUUUGCAGGUGGUUGGAUGUGUUGAUUGAUGGGGACAUCAGAGGUCUUCAUCCAGAUGAUCCUGAGCCUCUGGAUUGAGUCAGACUCGUUUAUUUGCAUAUUUAUUUUAUUUUUAUUUCUAGCUUGUUUGCAUUUUAGGACUUAUUUGUGUUAUUUGUGGGCUUAUUAGGAGUUAUUUUUGUGUAAGGGGGUUUUAUGUUAAUUGUGUUUAUUUGGUCCUAUAUAUAGGGGAUUAUUUUCAUGAUUAGGGUUUUAAUGAAUGAUUAAGAAUUUCUUUUUCCCACAUCUUAUUCUUCUUCUUCCUCCUCCCCUUCUCUUCUUCCUGCGUCCCUAGAACUUCUUCCUUCUCCCUCUCUUGUUCUUCCUUCUUCUCCUCUUUUUCCGCACUUGUGCUGCAUCAACUUGGUAUCAAAGCCCCGAUCCAACAAUAGUCUUCUUUUCCCUCGGUUCCCCCCAACAACAAGAACAGGGCCCCUCUUUCUGGCAGUUCCGCUCACCAAAAAAGGGAUCUCUCACUCUCUCGGUUCUCACAAGAAGGGACAGAGGGGAACAACCCCUGGCUCACCGGGCCUCUCUCGGUUCCUUCUUUCCCUCUGUCAGUUUCACAAAAAAAAGAGGGGAAGACCCCUGUUCGUCGGCCCUGUCCCGCCGGCCGCCAAGCCCGCGGCCACCACUCCCACGCUCCACCGCCGCUGCAUCAUGCCACCGCCAGGCCGAGCGCCGCUCCCUCCGAAGUGUCGCCGCGCGCCCGAGCGCUCCGCCAACAUCGGGCACCCUGUUGCCGCCCGCGGAAGCCUGAGACCGGCCGCCAGCGUCAUGUCCGCAGAGGGCAAUGCCGCCGCGCAAGCCUGCAGCCGCUGCCGCGCCCUCCGUCCGCUAGCAGCUGUCGCCACGAUUAUCGGCACGCCCUCCCGUAGCCAUAGGGAGGUUGAAGAAAGCCCUAACGGUUCCGCUUCAAAAAAAAAAAGUUUCACAUGACCCGCACGUGACGGGUCCGUAAAGGGUAUCGAAUCGGGUCAAACCCGUUAACCCGAAUCCUAACGGGUCUGAGUUUUUUUAAAAAAUAGAGAAAAAAAGGAAAAAAAAGAAAGACCUACCUCUGUUCGUCUUCUUCGGCCGCACCGCCGCCCUUGAGCGCCGCUCCACCCGUGCCGCCGCCGAGCUCCGCCGCGCGCCGCCCACCCUUCGCCGCUUUCGCUCCACCGGCCGAAGCCACCAUCCCCAUCUUUCUUCGGUGUCUGCCUCCACCGCGCCGCCCAACCCCUCCUAUUUCUUCCCUCGCGCCGCCUCGCCGUCGCCGUCCCCGCCGCUCCCGCGACCGCGCGAUUGCCACCACCGCUGCCUCCUUCCCCUCCUAGCUUCGCCGCUGCCCCCCUAUGCUCGCACACCGCAAAACCACCGCCUCCACCACCACUUCACCGCCUCCCCCCCCGGCCGUCCUUCUUCUUCCACGAUCGCCACCACUUCACCGCCUUCCCUCCCUCUUUUAUUUCAUCAAGGGUUUCAACAUUGAAACCCUCCACACCACCUCAGGCUCAUUUCGCCCCCCCCUCCUCUUCCUUCACGGGCUUUGUUCCUUCACUAGCAUAGCACACCAGAACACCCCUCUCUCCUCAUUAGCCUUCAGGCCAGGUCUGAACAUCACACCUGAACACCUGCCAAUCCAUUGGUCCAACAGGGCCCUCCUGCCAGCCAUUCCCAUCAGGUUCGAGCCGCGCCCCUGAGGCCCAUCAUCAGGCCCACCGAAUUUUUUUUGAUCAGGCCCCCAAGUUGCUGAUAUCAGGUCCACCGAGUUGCCGUGAUUCGACCAGAUUCGCGCCAUCCGACGAGCUGACUCACUGCGCACCGAUCGUCGCCCCAGUCCACGAGCACACGAUUCUAGUCGACUACUUCAUGACAGGUGAUAGGUUUCCAUUUUUUUUGGGCUUGCUCAUUUAAUUAUGUUCUAGUUCUCUUGCAUGAUAGCCACAUUUUGAAACUUAUAUUGCUGUCAAAAUUCAGAACAUUAAACCUUUCAUUUCCGAACCCGUCCUAUUACCCGUUAAAUCUUGAUAUUAAAUUAGCACACUCUUGUAACAGGACGUUUCUCAACAUUCUUCGAUCAGAUUGAUUUAGGAUCAAAACAACUGUACUAUUACUGUCCUAUUACUACUUGAUUGCAAUCUAAUUUCUUAAAUUGAAUAAUCUUAAUCCUUAAUUCUGAAUAACCGAAGUAAAAAUCAGCAACAUUUAAACUUUAAGUUAUUCUUGUGAAGACUUGCUGAUCUCUGAAAUCAUAAUAGAUUGCAUUAGUAGGUUGUCCAGCAUCAAAUCUGGUCCUGCAUCAUACUUAUAAGGGUUUCAUUAGUGACACUGCAUUUCACAUCAUCACCCAGUGUCAUCAUUGCAAGCCAUCCUGUAGUGAUAUGGAGCACUAUCUCAAUCAACCUAAAACCCCUGUAGCUACCAUGAAUUCCGACAUUUUGAGGUCUCUCCUAGAACAGAUCGUUGCCAUGCGGGCUGGAUACAAGGAAUUCAAACAAGAGAUCCGUGAGCUCAUUCAAAAUUCUAGGACCCUUACGCCGCCAACCCCUAUUGCAUCCCAACCUAGAAUCGGUUUGGUUGCACCACCUGUAAUCCUUUCCCAUUUUCUUGGGCACCAAACCCAAUGCUCAAGGUGUCAACAAUUCGACCACAUAGCAUCCCAAUGUUCCAUUAGAACCUACCUGAUUACUAAACCAGAAGUUAGGAGCCAAGAGGUCGAAUAUGUCGAAGAAGUGUAUGAACCAAAUAUGGAAGACUAUGAAGAAGACUUUGAAGACGAACCUACAGAAUUAGAUUUUGUCCAAAAUGAUUCCCAAAGGGAGACUAUUGAUCUAAGUACAACCAAGCCACUUCACAUCACUACUAUCGAAGAGGUAGUGACAGAUAUUGAGAGCCAGUCACCUGAAUUGGCACUUGUAGCUAAAGAUAGUGGCGUCCAAUCUUGAACAUUCCCUUAUAGUAGUUUUCCUUCUAGAGGAGUUUCAUGAUGUAGUCCUUGAUGAUCUUUCGGAUGCACUUUCUCCAAUGCAUGAUAUCCAACGUGCAAUUGAUCUAGUUUUCGAAGCAUCUCUGCCCAACCAUUCACAUCAUAGGCUCAGACCGAAUGCAUAUGCUAGGACCUGGAAUUUAAUGUUACCGACAGUUGAGUUUGCAUGUAAUAUUCGGUUAACAAGUCCAUAGGUAUGAGUCCAUUCGAAGUGGUGCAUGAUUACAAACCUAGGCAACCCAUAGACAUGUUUUUCAUGUCUCAUCAGUAUAGAGUCUUUGAGUCUGCACAAUUAAUUGCAUCACAUCCAUAUUUAUUGCAUCAAGAAAUCAGCAAUUGUAGUCACUUUAAUAACUUAAAAUAUAAAUUCCUUGUUGAUUUACACAGACGUUAUAAAGAGUUAAGUGAAAAAGAUUACGUCAUGAUAAGAAUUAGGCUUGAACGAUUUUCUUCAGAUACGUUUAAGAAAUUGCAAACUUGUAGUGCAGAACCGUUCAAAAUCUUAAAGAAAAUCAGUUCGAAUGCAUAUGUUGUGGAUCUUCCUGAUGACUAUGGGAUUAGUGCGACAUUUAAUAUUGAAGAUUUAGUCUCAUACAAAAAGAUAAUAUUCAUGCCUUCUGAACCCUUUAUUGAUAUACCUGCCUAUGUUGGACACCCUGACCUAUUACCUGCUGUUGAGCCACCACCUCCCAAAUUUCAUGCACGCAGAGAACAAAUAGAACAUAUAUUGGAUGAGCAGAUUAUUUCAACCAGGAACGGUGGUUACCAACAUUACCUUGUUCGGUGGAAAGGUCGACCAAAGUCUGAUGUGACGUGGAUUUUCAGAGCACAGUUGCAGCGCCUUGACCCCGAUCUUCUGGAGCAGUACGACAGCUGACAGACUUGUACUCGACGGGGUCGAGUUUUUCUCACCCAGGAGGAGUUAAUGGGGACAUCAGAGGCCUUCAUCCAGAUGAUCCUGAGCCCCCGGAUUGAGUCAGACUCGUUUAUUUGCAUAUUUAUUUUAUUUUUAUUUCUGGCUUGUUUGCAUUUUAGGGCUUAUUUGUGUUAUUUGUGGGCUUAUUAGGAGUUAUUUUUGUGUAAGGGGGUUUUAUGUUAAUUGUGUUUA